AAUAAGAUGCCUGACNNNAAAAGGAUUAUUUUGAUAGAAUAAAUUAUGUAAUAUAAUUACUCUUAUUAUAUUUA
rnacentral:tRNA from 1 species